rnacentral:rRNA from 1 species
GUCUUUUUGAGUUAUUUUGAAAGUCUGACCUGCCCACUGAAUUUUUAAAUGGCCGCAGUAUUCUAACUGUGCAAAGGUAGCAUAAUCAUUAGUCUUUUAAUUGGAGGCUGGUAUGAACGGUUGGACGAGGUAUUAACUGUUUCAUAUAUAUUUAUAUUAGAAUUUUAUUUUUUAGUUAAAAAGCUAAAAUAGUAUUAAAAGACGAGAAGACCCUAUAAAUCUUUAUAUUUUGUGUAUUUUAAAUGGUUUAGAUUUAUUUUAUUUUUAUUAUAAAAAAUAUUUUGUUGGGGUGAUGUUAAAAUUUAAUGAACUUUUAAUUAUUUAUGGUCAUUAAUUUAUGUAUUAUUGAUCCAUUAAUAGUGAUUAUAAGAUUAAGUUACUUUAGGGAUAACAGCGUAAUUUUUUUGGAGAGUUCAUAUCGAUAGAAAAGUUUGCGACCUCGAUGUUGGAUUAAGAUAUAAUUUUAGGUGUAGCCGCUUAAAUUUUAAGUCUGUUCGACUUUUAAAUUCUU